GAUGAACGCUGGCGGCGUGCCUAAUACAUGCAAGUCGAGCGAACGGACGAGAAUCUUGCUUCUCUGAUGUUAGCGGCGGACGGGUGAGUAACACGUGGAUAACCUACCUAUAAGACUGGGAUAACUUCGGGAAACCGUAGCUAAUACCGGAUAAUAUUUUGAACCGCAUGGUUCAAAAGUGAAAGACGGUCUUGCUGUCACUUAUAGAUGGAUCCGCGCUGCAUUAGCUAGUUGGUAAGGUAACGGCUUACCAAGGCAACGAUGCAUAGCCGACCUGAGAGGGUGAUCGGCCACACUGGAACUGAGACACGGUCCAGACUCCUACGGGAGGCAGCAGUAGGGAAUCUUCCGCAAUGGGCGAAAGCCUGACGGAGCAACGCCGCGUGAGUGAUGAAGGUCUUCGGAUCGUAAAACUCUGUUAUUAGGGAAGAACAUAUGUGUAAGUAACUGUGCACAUCUUGACGGUACCUAAUCAGAAAGCUACGGCUAACUACGUG
rnacentral:rRNA from 1 species